GACGAACGCUGGCGGCGUGCUUAACACAUGCAAGUCGAACGGAAAGGCCCUGCUUUUGUGGGGUGCUCGAGUGGCGAACGGGUGAGUAGCACGUGAGUAACCUGCCCUUGACUUUGGGAUAACUUCAGGAAACUGGGGCUAAUACCGGAUAGGAGCUCCUGCUGCAUGGUGGGGGCUGGAAAGUUUCGGCUGUUGGGGAUGGACUCGCGGCUUAUCAGCUUGUUGGUGGGGUAGUGGCUUACCAAGGCUUUGACGGGUAGCCGGCCUGAGAGGGUGACCGGCCACAUUGGGACUGCGAUACGGCCCAGACUCCUCCGGGAGGCAGCAGUGGGGAAUAUUGCACAAUGGGCGGAAGCCUGAUGCAGCAACGCCGCGUGCGGGAUGACGGCCUUCGGGUUGUAAACCGCUUUCGCCUGUGACGAAGCGUGAGUGACGGUAAUGGGUAAAGAAGCACCGGCUAACUACGUG
rnacentral:rRNA from 1 species